rnacentral:rRNA from 1 species
GAUGAACGCUGGCGGCGUGCCUAAUACAUGCAAGUCGAGCGAACAGACGAGGAGCUUGCUCCUCUGACGUUAGCGGCGGACGGGUGAGUAACACGUGGAUAACCUACCUAUAAGACUGGGAUAACUUCGGGAAACCGGAGCUAAUACCGGAUAAUAUAUUGAACCGCAUGGUUCAAUAGUGAAAGACGGUUUUGCUGUCACUUAUAGAUGGAUCCGCGCCGCAUUAGCUAGUUGGUAAGGUAACGGCUUACCAAGGCAACGAUGCGUAGCCGACCUGAGAGGGUGAUCGGCCACACUGGAACUGAGACGCGGUCCAGACUCCUACGGGAGGCAGCAGUAGGGAAUCUUCCGCAAUGGGCGAAAGCCUGACGGAGCAACGCCGCGUGAGUGAUGAAGGUCUUCGGAUCGUAAAACUCUGUUAUUAGGGAAGAACAAAUGUGUAAGUAACUAUGCACGUCUUGUCGGUACCUAAUCAGAAAGCCACGGCUAACUACGUG